GUCUGGCUGGCUCAGUCAGUAUAGCAUGUGACUCUUGAUCUCAGGGUUGUGAGUUCAAGCCCCACGUUGGAUG
rfam:Ailuropoda melanoleuca scaffold395_32, whole genome shotgun sequence.